UCUUUGAUGGUCUAACGGUCAUGAUUUCCGCUUGUCAUCUUGGUGACAAGGCGCGGGAGACCAGGGUUCGACUCCCUGUCAGAGAG